rnacentral:rRNA from 1 species
UACGUAGGGGGCGAGCGUUAUCCGGAUUCAUUGGGCGUAAAGCGCGCGUAGGCGGCCGCCUAAGCGGAGCCUCUAACCCCGGGGCUCAACCUCGGGCCGGGUUCCGGACUGGGCGGCUCGAGUGCGGUAGAGGAGAGCGGAAUUCCCGGUGUAGCGGUGGAAUGCGCAGAUAUCGGGAAGAACACCGAUGGCGAAGGCAGCUCUCUGGGCCGUCACUGACGCUGAGGCGCGAAAGCUGGGGGAGCGAACAGG